CACAUCUGCCAGCAGAAAUACGAAGACUCAGCGCGGCUCCCCUAACCUAAUCUGUACCUCGACACUGACACCCAUCAGGUUUCAACCCAGCGGGGAGAGUGUGCGACAGGCAGCAACCAGAGGAAGGACACCACUGGACACCAGAGGGUUGUACGAUAAAGAAAAAGUGAAGUCUCUGGGCUGCAGCCAGCAGAAGGAAACAUUAACUGCAACCAGAAGUAUGACAGCGCAAUUCCUGAUGAAACACUCAUCCGUGAAAUGUGUUUGUGUGCAAAGCCAUUUAAUAAAAGAUAGCGAAAAAUAUGUACAAGCUCAAACACUGAAUUAAAACUUGCCAGGCAUGUGUUGUUAUAUUAAAUUCCAAUUUGGCUUUUUAAUGAAGCCGUAUUAAAUUCAA